ACCUGGCUGGCUCAGUUGGUAGAGCAUGUGGUUCUUGAUCUUGGGGGUGUGAGUUUGAGCCCCAUGUUGGGUA
rnacentral:tRNA from 1 species